rnacentral:rRNA from 1 species
AAGCGUUGUUCGGAAUUAUUGGGCGUAAAGCGCGUGUAGGCGGUUCGUUAAGUCUGAUGUGAAAGCCCUGGGCUCAACCCAGGAAGUGCAUUGGAUACUGGCAGACUUGAAUACGGGAGAGGGCAGUGGAAUUCCUGGUGUAGGAGUGAAAUCCGUAGAUAUCAGGAGGAACACCGGUGGCGAAGGCGGCUGCCUGGACCGAUAUUGACGCUGAGACGCGAAAGCGUGGGUAGCAAACAGGAUUAGAUACCCUGGUAGUCCACGCCGUAAACGAUGAGUACUAGGUGUUGCGGGUAUUGACCCCUGCAGUGCC